CUGUUCGCCCAUUAAAGUGGUACGCGAGCUGGGUUCAGAACGUCGUGAGACAGUUCGGUCCCUAUCCGUCGCAGGCGUAGGAAAUUUGAGAAGACCUGUCCUUAGUACGAGAGGACCGGGAUGGACGUACCUCUGGUGUACCAGUUGUCCUGCCAAGGGCAUGGCUGGGUAGCUAUGUACGGAAUGGAUAAGCGCUGAAAGCAUCUAAGCGCGAAGCCAACUUCAAGAUAAGAUUUCCCACCGCAAGGGUAAGACCCCAGAAAGACUAUCUGGUUGAUAGGUCGAAGGUGUAAGUGCAGUAAUGUAUUUAGCUUAUCGAUACUAAUAGGUCGAGGACUUGACCAAU
rnacentral:rRNA from 1 species